rnacentral:rRNA from 1 species
UACGGGGGGGGCAAGCGUUGUUCGGAAUUACUGGGCGUAAAGGGCGCGUAGGCGGUUUGCUAAGUUGGAUGUGAAAACUCUGGGCUUAACCCAGAGCCUGCAUCCAAAACUGGCAAACUUGAGUACUGGAGGGGAAAGCGGAAUUCCUGGUGUAGCGGUGAAAUGCGCAGAUAUCAGGAGGAACACCAAUGGCGAAGGCAGCUCACUGGGACGGUAUUGACGCUGAGACGCGAAAGCGUGGGGAGCAAACAGG